UAUCUACAACUAAAAAUAUUUAAAAAGGGGAGAUUCAAGUUCACACAUAUUUCUUCAGUAAAGUUUUCAACAAGCAGAAUAUUUUUGCAGAAUGUUUUAUGCAACAAAAUUCAAUCCAUUUUACGUUGGCGAAUGUCCUCCAGGACCAAUGAUAUGUCGACCCUUUCGCAGAGGCAGUUUGCCUCAUGGAUGCUCUUCACCUUGUAGAGGAUCUAGUUGUGGUUCUUGUAAUUCAUGUAGUCCUUGUCAUUCAAGCUGUGCUUGGGGAUCCUGCAAUGGCGGUUGCUGCACUUCGACUAGCUGUGGCUGGUAAACAAACGAAUACCAAGAGAGUGCAUCCACCGCCAUUAUGACUGAAAAAAAUUGUGUGAAUUUAAUUUCCUCUUAACAUUACAUUUUAUGCUGAAUCAAUUUCUGACAAAUUAAAGUAAUAAAUUAUUCAAAAUAUGCAUUUAAUAUUGGGAAAUACAAAAUAAUUUCGUAAUAACCGAAAACACAGUAACCAUUGAGAAGCAUUUGAAAAGUUUUUCGAUUCUCUGAGCACUCAUUCCUCUGGAAUGCUUUCGCCUUUGAACAACUUUUAACAUGCAAAUUUAAAUAGAAUCAUCCAAAAUCUGGAGGAAAUCUAAAAAGUUCACACAUUUCUUCAGCCACAAAAGCAAUAGCAUACUGUGAAUGAGCAUUAAGUUUGCGAUAAAAAUAAAACUAAAUUAAUCACAGCAUUAGAUCAACUGACAAUAUCCAGGAAGAUUUUCAAAAUGUUUUACGCAACUACAUUCGAUCCGUUUUAUGUUGGAGAAUGUCCUCCUGGUCCGAUGAUAUUUCGGCCGUUUCGUGGAGGCUGUUGGCCUUACGGUCGCUUUGCGGCUUGCUGUGGUUCUCGAUGUCGUCCUUGUGGUCCCUGUGGUCCUUGUGGUGCAAGCUGUGGUCCAUGUGGUCCCUGUGGACCUUGCGGAGGCGGUUGUUGCACUAGCGCACCUUGCGGUUGGUAGACGAAAAACUUGACUGUG